rnacentral:rRNA from 1 species
UACGGAGGGUGCAAGCGUUACUCGGAAUCACUGGGCGUAAAGCGCGCGCAGGCGGGCUGAUAAGUUGGAUGUGAAAGCCUACGGCUCAACCGUAGAACUGCAUCCAAAACUGUCAGUCUAGAGUGUGGGAGAGGAAGAUGGAAUUAGUUGUGUAGGGGUAAAAUCCGUGGAGAUAACUAGGAAUACCAAAAGCGAAGGCAAUCUUCUGGAACACUACUGACGCUGAGGCGCGAAGGCGUGGGGAGCAAACAGGAUUAGAAACCCCAGUAGUCC